rnacentral:rRNA from 1 species
UACGUAGGGCGCAAGCGUUUGUCCGGAAUUAUUGGGCGUAAAGAGCUCGUAGGCGGUUUGUCGCGUCUGCUGUGAAAACCUAAGGCUCAACCUUGGGCUUGCAGUGGGUACGGGCAGACUAGAGUGCGGUAGGGGUGACUGGAAUUCCUGGUGUAGCGGUGGAAUGCGCAGAUAUCAGGAGGAACACCGGUGGCGAAGGCGGUUAGCUGGGCAGUUGCUGACACUGGAGGCGCGACAGCGUGGGGAGCAAACAGG